rnacentral:rRNA from 1 species
UACGGAGGAGGCAAGCGUUAUCCGGAAUUAUUGGGCGUAAAGCGUCCGCAGGUGGCUAUUCAAGUCUGCGGUCAAAGACUGGGGCUUAACCCUGGAAAGGCCGUGGAAACUGAAGAGCUAGAGUGCAGUAGGGGUAGAGGGAAUUCCCGGUGUAGCGGUGAAAUGCGUAGAUAUUGGGAAGAACACCAGCGGCGAAAGCGCGCUACUGGACCGAGACUGACACUCAUGGACGAAAGCUAGGGGAGCGAAAGGG